UCAUCCGCUAGGGUUAAACACAUGCAGGUCAUUAUUAAUGGGUUUCGUAUGUAAUAUGACAUUUUUAGUUAUUUAUGCCUCCCAUUGUUGGGUAACUUGAGUUUCAUCCAUUCUGAGACUGGGAGAGUUUACUGUAAAUAUAGUUAGGUAGUGGUCUGACCUAGUGGUUGACUGGGAGAGUUUACUGUAAAUAUAACUAGGCAGUGGUCUGACCUAGUGGUUGACUGGGAGAGUUUACUGUAAAUAUAGUUAGGUAGUGGUCUGACCUAGUGGUUGACUGGGAGGGUUUACUGUAAAUAUAACUAGGCAGUGGUCUGACCUAGUGGUUGACUGGGAGGGUUUACUGUAAAUAUAGUUAGGUAGUGGUCUGACCUAGUGGUUGAUUGGGAGGGGUUUCUGUAAAUAUAGUUAGGUAGUGGUCUGACCUAGUGGUUGACUGGGAGGGUUUACUGUAAAUAUAGUUAGGUAGUGGUCUGACCUAGUGGUUGACUGGGAGAGUUUACUGUAAAUAUAGUUAGGUAGUGGUCUGACCUAGUGGUUGACUGGGAGAGUUUACUGUAAAUAUAGUUAGGUAGUGGUCUGACCUAGUGGUUGACUGGGAGGGUUUACUGUAAAUAUAGUUAGGUAGUGGUCUGACCUAGUGGUUGACUGGGAGGGUUUUCUGUAAAUAUAGUUAGGUAGUGGUCUGACCUAGUGGUUGACUGGGAGGGUUUACUGUAAAUAUAGUUAGGUAGUGGUCUGACCUAGUGGUUGACUGGGAGGGUUUACUGUAAAUAUAGUUAGGUAGUGGUCUGACCUAGUGGUUGACUGGGAGGGUUUACUGUAAAUAUAGUUAGGUCUGACCUAGUGGUUGACUGGGAGAGUUUACUGUAAAUAUAGUUAGGUAUUGGUCUGACCUAGUGGUUGACUGGGAGGGUUUACUGUAAAUAUAGUUAGGUAGUGGUCUGACCUAGUGGUUGACUGGGAGGGUUUACUGUAAAUAUUGUUAGGUAGUGGUCUGACCUCUAGUGGUUGACUGGGAGAGUUUACUGUAAAUAUAGUUAGGUAUUGGUCUGACCUAGUGGUUGACUGGGAGAGUUUACUGUAAAUAUAGUUAGGUAUUGGUCUGACCUAGUGGUUGACUGGGAGAGUUUACUGUAAAUAUAGUUAGUUAGGUAGUGGUCUGACCUAGUGGUUGACUGGGAGGGUUUACUGUAAAUAUUGUUAGGUAGUGGUCUGACCUAGUGGUUGACUGGGAGGGUUUACUGUAAAUAUAGUUAGGUAGUGGUCUGACCUAGUGGUUGACUGGGAGAGUUUAAUGUAAAUAUUAUUAGGUAUUGGUCUGACCUAGUGGUUGACUGGGAGAGUUUACUGUAAAUAUAGUUAGUUAGGUAGUGGUCUGACCUAGUGGUUGACUGGGAGGGUUUACUGUAAAUAUUGUUAGGUAGUGGUCUGACCUAGUGGUUGACUGGGAGGGUUUACUGUAGAUAUAGUUAGGUAGUGGUCUGACCUAGUGGUUGACUGGGAGAGUUUAAUGUAAAUAUUAUUAGGUAUUGGUCUGACCUAGUGGUUGACUGGGAGGGUUUACUGUAAAUAUAGUUAGGUAGUGGUCUGCCCUAGUGGUUGACUGGGAGGAUUUACUGUAAAUAUUGUUAGGUAGUGGUCUGACCUCUAGUGGUUUGAUUGGGGAACUUGCCUCUUAUCCAAUGGAAACACACCUCUACUUUCAACUAUGUUCAACCAUCAAAAUGUGUCGUCUUUGUGAAUUGUUCAACACAGACACAAUAUGAACAUUAAAACCAUGAGAAUCUGUCCCUCUCUCACUCUGUUCUUUGGCUAUGUCUAUUUGUUGUGUAUGACUUUGAUGGUGCACUGUCUGUAUAUUUACACAUCUUGGUUGUCUCAAAUGGCAUCCUCUACAGUGCACACUACCCAUAGGGCUCUGGUCAAAAUUAGUGCACUGUAUAGGCAAUAGGGUGCCAUUUAGGACGCACACCAUAUCUUUUUACUGUUUUAUAUUGUAUGACAUCACAUUUGAUGUGUUUUCUAGAUAUGUACCAAUAUGUUAUAAUAAACCUGAACCUAAUCCUAAACUUAAUCCUUAUCUAAACAUAAUCCUAAACUUAAA